CUCAGUGAUGAAGCCAUUGAAGAUGCCCUUGAGAAGGUUCAACACUACCUUUUGUUUUACUGAUACUAUAAAUUUAUAGAAUAAGGAACUCAGGUUUGACACACAAGGUGUGGAACCGUGAGAAGAUCAUCAUCAUCCCCGGCCACUCAUCUUCACCAGCGACGAGCGGGCGAACCGAUAACUGGGGACUUCUGCAACGAGUGGAAGAUUAGGAAAAUUCACAAUACAGAGGUGUUUGCCAGAUUGUGCCCGCUCAAGAAGGCCCGCUGCUGACUAGACGAGCUUUUGGUCAAUUUGCAACUGGAAUUGAAAUACUAAUGCAGGUUUGAUAUUGGGACUGGAAAGGUUCUUCUCAAGGUAUGCAAACAAGUUUAGGUACUCCCAGAUAUAAUUGACAUAGUCUUAAAUGAUAAAGUAAAAAGAUGUAUCUUUCUUUUAGAUGUUAUUUUCCAUCUUACUGCUACAGGACAAGCUAGCACAGUUUCCUACUGUGUAUUAAUAUAAUUUAGUUAGCUUUCUGAUAGUUCAUUAGAAUAACCAGUCUUGCAUUUUUGUGACUACUUACAGUAGUUUCUUUGGAUCGUCUUCUUGGCUGCACCAAGCCUUUUAAGUUUAUAAAAAAUUAAAAUCUCCAUUUUACAUGUCUUUUAUACAUGUCUAAAAUGAAAAACAUGUGGCUUUUGCCACUGAGUGAAAUUGCUUUUUUUUCUUGAAAACGCAAUUUCAUUUCAUUGAAAAGAUAGAGUUUACAAUCCUCCGAGUAGUUCUGCCAUCAACCUGGGAUGUCCACUAAAUACAUGUAACUCUGUUGUAAAUUGCUAUUUUUGUACUGUCAUAUUUUACAUAGUCUGUAUAUUUUUCUGUACACAUAGCUUCCUGUCUAGCAAAAUGUCUAGGCAGCCA